rnacentral:misc_RNA from 1 species
AUGCGAUAAGUAAUGUGAAUUGCAGAAUUCCGUGAAUCAUCGAAUCUUUGAACGCACAUUGCGCCCGCUAGUAUUCUGGCGGGCAUGCCUGUUCGAGCGUCAUUUCAACCAUCAAGCCCCCGGCUUGUGUUGGGGACCUGCGGCUGCCGCAGGCCCUGAAAUCCAGUGGCGGGCUCGCUGUAGCACCGAGCGUAGUAGCAUACUUCUCGCUCCGGUAGCAGCGGUGGGCGCCUGCCGUAAAACCCCCCUUAAAAUCUCAAGGUUGACCUCGGAUCAGGUAGGAAUACCCGCUGAACUUAA